rnacentral:tRNA from 1 species
GGGGAUUUAGCUCAGCAGUAGAGCGCUUGCCUAGCAAGCUAGGUGGAGGCACCUAGCAAGGCCCUGGGUUCCAUCCCCAGCUCCA